rnacentral:rRNA from 2 species
AGACCCGAAACCCGGUGAUCUAGCCAUGGGCAGGUUGAAGGUUGGGUAACACUAACUGGAGGACCGAACCGACUAAUGUUGAAAAAUUAGCGGAUGACCUGUGGCUGGGGGUGAAAGGCCAAUCAAACCGGGAGAUAGCUGGUUCUCCCCGAAAGCUAUUUAGGUAGCGCCUCGUGAAUUCAUCUCCGGGGGUAGAGCACUGUUUCGGCUAGGGGGCCAUCCCGGCUUACCAACCCGAUGCAAACUGCGAAUACCGGAGAAUGUUAUCACGGGAGACACACGGCGGGUGCUAACGUCCGUCGUGAAGAGGGAAACAACCCAGACCGCCAGCUAAGGUCCCAAAGUCAUGGUUAAGUGGGAAACGAUGUGGGAAGGCCCAGACAGCCAGGAUGUUGGCUUAGAAGCAGCCAUCAUUUAAAGAAAGCGUAAUAGCUCACUGGUCGAGUCGGCCUGCGCGGAAGAUGUAACGGGGCUAAACCAUGCACCGAAGCUGCGGCAGCGACACUCAGGUGUUGUUGGGUAGGGGAGCGUUCUGUAAGCCUGCGAAGGUGGCCUGUGAGGGUUGCUGGAGGUAUCAGAAGUG